CCCGUUGUAGCUCAAAGGUAGAGCGGCCGGCUGUAGACCGGCAGGUUGUGUGUUCGAUUCACACCAACGGGA
rnacentral:tRNA from 1 species